GCUUCAUCUUCUCCACUCGUUGACAGAAAGCAUGGCUGCCCGCCGUUUGGGACGUUUAGCCACCUCCGCUACGCGCUGCCUUCCUCUCUGCAAUUCUGUUCGAUCUACCAAUUCCUUUUCAGAGCAGGAAAACGACGCCCCCGCCUAGGAGAAACAAGCUAUACACGCUCUUUGCAAAUCCAACAAAUGAAUCCACAGGUCCCUGCGUGUCCGAGACAAAAUGUCAAUCAUUGUCUCCAUUAUCACAACUUUGGAAGGCAAACAUCAUCUAUACUAAGCCUGACAUAUACUAUGUUUAUUGUUGCGAUAAAGUUCUUGGUUCUUAUUUUGCUGCAUAUUGCAUUGCACCAUCAACACCAUGUCAUGUCGCCCAAAUAUUACAAAUGUCUCCCCUCUGUUCUGGUGAAUGAUAAUUGCUUCACUGGGGCUAGUUCGAAUGGUCUAUUUCUUCUUCGUAGUAGUAAGUUGGGUUCUGCUCUUUUGAACCCAACAACGGGUGAGUAUAUUGUGGAACUCGUUCCUCGUCUUGAUACAAUGCUGCUGCAUUCUGGAAUGUGGUAUGACCACAAAUGUGAUGAUUAUAAAUUGCACGCUCCUAUUUAUUAGAUGAAGCAGAGUUGUAUGGGUAUCACAUUGAAUUAUAUUCGCUCAAAACUAAUUCCUGGAAGAGAAUAAUACCAUUCCACAUUCCCAUAUCCUAAAGGUAAAUGCCACUGUGAUUUUGAUCUUCCAGAGUAUAAAGGCUCGUUAAGUGCUCUUGAGUACUUCUAUGAUAAACCUGUAGGCCUUCCUAAUCCUUUUACUUAUCAUCCUUAUAAAUAUCAUCUUUGGGUAAUGAGAGAUGGAUCUUGGAUAAGAGAAUCUGUUUUCCAUGCUCAUCGUGCUCGGCAGCCAUUAUUUUUUUCGGUUGAUGGUAAGUUAUUGUACUUUGCAAGCUUGACUGAUGAUAUAAUGGUGUUUGAUCGUGCCACUGGAAAGUUGAAGAAUCAUGGUGGCAAUAAAUAUUCGAUUUAUCCAAAGCUCAUUCCUUUUGUUGAGAGCUUUGUUCAAUUCAAUGGAAUUACACAUGUUGAGGAGUGUGGAGGCUAUGUGAGGGCUAUUUGAUGUCCAGUUGAUGUGGCAAGCUGAUGUGGCAGG